GCCAGACUCCUACGGGAGGCAGCAGUGGGGAAUAUUGGGCAAUGGGCGCAAGCCUGACCCAGCAACGCCGCGUGAAGGAAGAGGGCUUUCGGGUUGUAAACUUCUUUUAAGAGGGAAGAGCAGAAGACGGUACCUCUUGAAUAAGCUCCGGCUAACUACGUGCCAGCAGCCGCGGUAAUACGUAGGGAGCAAGCGUUAUCCGGAUUUACUGGGUGUAAAGGGCGCGUAGGCGGGAUGGCAAGUCAGAUGUGAAAUCCAGGGGCUCAACCCCUGAACUGCAUUUGAAACUGUCGUUCUUGAGUACUGGAGAGGUUGACGGAAUUCCUAGUGUAGCGGUGAAAUGCGUAGAUAUUAGGAGGAACACCAGUGGCGAAGGCGGUCAACUGGACAGCAACUGACGCUGAGGCGCGAAAGCGUGGGGAGCAAACAGGAUUAGAUACCCGUGUAA
rnacentral:rRNA from 1 species